UGGCCAAAAGUUUAUCUAAAAGUGUUUCAAUUGACACGCAGUGCUAUCACCAAUCUCAUCAGCGAAAAUAAGGACGUCUUAAAUCAUAGAUAUAUACAGCUUUAUCGAUAUUGGACAACAAUAUACAAAGUGGGUUUUUUUCACAGCACACUUACUUUGUUAUUAAACAAUGUAUGGGCGCUUUAAUUAUUAUUGAUUUAUACAAGGAUUGGUCCUUUUGCCACGUGAAAAAACCAACGGCUAAAAUAUCUACAUUAAAGACGUACCCGUCGUGAAAUCAAAGUAAAUUCAAGGCACCAUGACUUUUUCUGUUCUAAAAGCAACGAGUGUUAAUGUAAAGAAUCGCUUACAGACGAGGUACAUAAGGGCUGUUAUUGAACACGGUUGAAAUAUAAACUUAAAGUCAAAACAAUCUAAUUAGUAACACGGGUAAACGUGGAAGGUCAGUUAUUCCUUGAUAUAACUCAACUUCCAAAUUGCAAAAAUCCUUAUGAGACCUGUUUUGCUUUAUAUUGAUAACCAAUUGGGAACCUGUGUGAAUGAAUUUAAUUGUUUAUUAUAUUGCAAUGUGUUUAUAAUUAAGUAAUAACAUUGGAUUCUAAGAAAUAUUUAGUUAAUUAUCAACGACACAAUAUUUUGUAAACCAAACUAUAUUAGUAGAAAAAUAUCGCGAAUCUAAAAGUAACGAAAAUGUCUUAGAACUUCUUUAAUAUGAAAACACAAAGCUAAAAAAUGGUGUAAAUAAUUCUGAUAGUGUUUUAAAAUACAAAAACUAACGUCAUCACAUAACAUCAUGGCAGAAGUAGGCGUCCGUAUGAGGUUCCUGAAUAUUCAUCAGUCACUAUAAAAAAUGUUAAUGAACCAACAAAAGCAGGAAGAAUUACUUGCCUAAACUAUUUCAAUCGCUGAAAAUUAACGAUAUUUAAACUACCUAACUUAGAUAAGAUAAAAAGCAAAUAUAAUAAUAUGUGUUCAUUAAAUAAUUCUAUUUCAGAAUAUAUACUUGUAUUGUGUUUCCUAACUGGUUUAAGUUCGGUGUGGAGAAUGCUACUGAGUGUCAACAGUUUAUGACAUGUGAGAAUGAUAAGAUGUGAAAGAUGGUGGAAACAGAUGACGGACUAUCCAGCAGGCAUACCAAAAGAAAAAGUUGAGAAAUUGAAGCAUUAACUUUUUAUUAGAAAACAUAAUCGACCUUUUCCGCAUAUUUUUGCAUUAUAAUAACUAUAAAGAAAAACUCGUUUUUUUAUAGAAUUGUAUGAUACAAGGGUACAAAACUAUUGUACUUGAUGAACCUUAUUAGUAAUACAUUUCGCCAAAUAUU